GGCUCAGGACGAACGCUGGCGGCGUGCCUAACACAUGCAAGUCGAGCGAGGAGAUCCUUCGGGAUGAUCCUAGCGGCGGACGGGUGAGUAACACGUGGGCAACCUGCCUCAUAGAGAGGAAUAGCCUUCCGAAAGGGAGAUUAAUACCUCAUAACAUUGCAGUUUCGCAUGAAACAGCAAUUAAAGGAGCAAUCCGCUAUGAGAUGGGCCCGCGGCGCAUUAGCUAGUUGGUGAGGUAACGGCUCACCAAGGCGACGAUGCGUAGCCGACCUGAGAGGGUGAUCGGCCACAUUGGGACUGAGACACGGCCCAGACUCCUACGGGAGGCAGCAGGUGGGGAAUAUUGCACAAUGGGGGAAACCCUGAUGCAAGCAACGCCGCGUGAGUGAUGACGGCCUUCGGGUUGUAAAGCUCUGUCUUCAGGGACGAUAAUGACGGUACCUGAGGAGGAAGCCACGGCUAACUACGUGCCAGCAGCCGC
rnacentral:rRNA from 1 species